UCACUUUGGCAGUGCAUAUACUAAAAUUGGAGUGAUAAGGAGAAGAUUAGUGUGGACCCUUUGCAAGAAUGAUACGUUAGUGAAAUGUUACAUAUUCUU
ensembl:snRNA U6 U6 spliceosomal RNA